GCCACUCUAGCUCAAUGGCAGAGCAACGGUUUUGUAAACCGUAGGUUGUCGGUUCAAAUCCGACGAGUGGCU
rnacentral:tRNA from 1 species